AUUGAACGCUGGCGGCAUGCCUUACACAUGCAAGUCGAACGGCAGCACGGACUUCGGUCUGGUGGCGAGUGGCGAACGGGUGAGUGAUGUAUCGGAACGUACCUUUCAGUGGGGGAUAACGUAGCGAAAGUUACGCUAAUACCGCAUAUUCUGUUAGCAGGAAAGCAGGGGAUCGCAAGACCUUGCGCUGAUUGAGCGGCCGAUAUCAGAUUAGCUAGUUGGUGAGGUAAAGGCUCACCAAGGCGACGAUCUGUAGCGGGUCUGAGAGGAUGAUCCGCCACACUGGAACUGAGACACGGUCCAGACUCCUACGGGAGGCAGCAGUGGGGAAUUUUGGACAAUGGGGGCAACCCUGAUCCAGCCAUGCCGCGUGAGUGAAGAAGGCCU
rnacentral:rRNA from 1 species